rnacentral:rRNA from 1 species
GAUGAACGCUAGCUACAGGCUUAACACAUGCAAGUCGAGGGGAAACGACAUCGAAAGCUUGCUUUUGAUGGGCGUCGACCGGCGCACGGGUGAGUAACGCGUAUCCAACCUGCCCACCACUUGGGGACAACCUUGCGAAAGUAAGACUAAUACCCAAUGAUAUCUCUAGAAGACAUCUGAAAGAGAUUAAAGAUUUAUCGGUGAUGGAUGGGGAUGCGUCUGAUUAGCUUGUUGGCGGGGUAACGGCCCACCAAGGCGACGAUCAGUAGGGGUUCUGAGAGGAAGGUCCCCCACAUUGGAACUGAGACACGGUCCAAACUCCUACGGGAGGCAGCAGUGAGGAAUAUUGGUCAAUGGGCGAGAGCCUGAACCAGCCAAGUAGCGUGCAGGAAGACGGCCCUAUGGGUUGUAAACUGCUUUUAUAAGGGAAUAAAGUGAGUCUCGUGAGACUUUUUGCAUGUACCUUAUGAAUAAGGACCGGCUAAUUCCGUGCCAGCCGCCGCCGUAAAAC